rnacentral:rRNA from 1 species
GAGUGGCGGACGGGUGAGUAACACGUAAGUAUUCUGCCCCUAAGUAAGGGAUAACCCUGAGAAAUCGGAGCUAAUACCUUAUGUGGUGGUGGAGGUAAAGCUUCAUCACUAAAGCCGCAAGGCGCUUGGGGAGGAGCUUGUGUCCGAUUAGCUAGUUGGUAGGGUAAUGGCUUACCAAGGCGAUGAUCGGUAGCUGGUCUGAGAGGAUGGUCAGCCACACUGGGACUGAGAUACGGCCCAGACACCUACGGGAGGCAGCAGCAAGGAAUAUUGGGCAAUGGGCGAAAGCCUGACCCAGCGACGCCGUGUGGGGGAUGAAUGCCUUCGGGUUGUAAACCCCUUUUCUCAGGGAAGAAUAAUGACGGUACCUGAGGAAUAAGUCUCGGCUAACUACGUGCCAGCAGCCGCGGUAAGACGUAGGAGGCAAGCGUUAUCCGGAUUUACUGGGCGUAAAGGGGGUGUAGGCGGCUUUUCAAGUCGGAUGUGAAAUCUCCCUGCUUAACGGGGAGGGGUCAUUCGAUACUGUUAAGCUUGAGGACAGCAGAGGGAGGUGGAAUUCCCGGUGUAGUGGUGAAAUGCGUAGAUAUCGGGAGGAACACCAGUGGCGAAGGCAGCCUCCUGGGCUGUUCCUGACGCUGAGGCCCGAAAGCGCGGGGAGCGAACAGGAUUAGAUACCCUGGUAGUCCGCGCAGUAAACGAUGGACACUAGGUAUAGUGAGUAUCGACCCUCUCUGUGCCGAAGCUAACGCG